CGUGAGCUGGGUUCAGACCGUCGUGAGACAGGUCGGUCUCUAUCCGCUGUGGGCGCAGGAAGUUUGAGGGGAGCUUUCCCUAGUACGAGAGGACCGGGAAGGACGUACCUCUGGUGUUCCGGUUGUCCCGCCAGGGGCACUGCCGGGUAGCUAUGUACGGAACGGAUAAGCGCUGAAAGCAUCUAAGUGCGAAGCCGGCCCCAAGAUGAGACUUCCCACCCCGAGAGGGGGUAAGGCCGCAGAGAGACUAUCUGCUCGAUAGGCCGCGGGUGUAAGCGCAGUAAUGCGUUCAGCCGAGCGGUACUAAUCGGCCGAGGACUUGACCAC
rnacentral:rRNA from 1 species